AAACCAACAGGGAUUGCCCCAGUAACGGCGAGUGAAGCGGCAAGAGCUCAAAUUUGAAAUCUGGCCUCCUCCGGGGGUCCGAGUUGUAAUUUGCAGAGGAUGCUUCGGGUGCGGCCCCCGUCUAAGUUCCUUGGAACAGGACGUCAGAGAGGGUGAGAAUCCCGUUUUGGGCGGGCGGCCCGCGCCCGUGUGAAGCUCCUUCGACGAGUCGAGUUGUUUGGGAAUGCAGCUCUAAGCGGGUGGUAAAUUUCAUCUAAAGCUAAAUACUGGCCGGAGACCGAUAGCGCACAAGUAGAGUGAUCGAAAGGUUAAAAGCACCUUGAAAAGGGAGUUAAACAGCACGUGAAAUUGUUGAAAGGGAAGCGCUUGCGGCCAGACUCGGGGGCGGGGUUCAGCGGGCGCUCGUCGCCCGUGCACUCCCCGCGCCCCGGGCCAGCAUCAGUUUCGACGGCCGGUCAAAGGCCCCCGGAAUGUGUCGUCUCUAGGGACGUCUUAUAGCCGGGGGUGCAAUGCGGCCCGUCGGGACUGAGGAACGCGCUCCGGCUCGGAUGCUGGCGUAAUGGCCGUAAGCGGC
rnacentral:rRNA from 1 species